GACGAACGCUGGCGGCGUGACUAAUACAUGCAAGUAGAACGCAGUUACGAACGGAUGAGAAACGCGUAGGUAACUGCCUCAUAGCGGGGGAUAAAUAUUGGAAACGAUAGCUAAUACCGAAUACUGUGAGAUGGACAUGCGUUUUAUUAGCUAGUUGGGGAGGUAAAGGCUCACCAAGGCGACGAGACAUAGCCGACCUGAGAGGGUGAUCGGCAACCCUGUGACGGAGACACGUCCCAGACUCCUACGGUCGGCAGCAGUAGGGAAUCUUCGGCAAUUGACGGACGUCUGACCGAGCAACGCCGCGUUAGUGAAGAAGGUUUUCGGAUCGUAAAGCUCUGUUGUUAGAGAAGCUGUAACUAACCAGAAAGGGACGGCUAACUACGUGCCAGCAGCCGCGGUAAUUC
rnacentral:rRNA from 1 species